GAUGAACGCUGGCGGCGUGCUUAACACAUGCAAGUCGAACGGGAAACCUUUUAUUGAAGCUUCGGCAGAUUUAGCUGGUUUCUAGUGGCGGACGGGUGAGUAACGCGUGGGUAACCUGCCUUAUACAGGGGGAUAACAGUCAGAAAUGACUGCUAAUACCGCAUAAGCGCACAGGACCGCAUGGUCCGGUGUGAAAAACUCCGGUGGUAUAAGAUGGACCCGCGUUGGAUUAGCUGGUUGGUGAGGUAACGGCUCACCAAGGCGACGAUCCAUAGCCGGCCUGAGAGGGUGAACGGCCACAUUGGGACUGAGACACGGCCCAGACUCCUACGGGAGGCAGCAGUGGGGAAUAUUGCACAAUGGGGGAAACCCUGAUGCAGCGACGCCGCGUGAAGGAAGAAGUAUCUCGGUAUGUAAACUUCUAUCAGCAGGGAAGAUAGUGACG
rnacentral:rRNA from 1 species